CCAGGUUGAUUCUGCCUGACGUGGACGCUAGUCUCAUAGAUUUAGCCAUGCAUGUGACGUGAACCAGUGAUUUAUCAUGGGGGAACGGCGAACGGCUCAGUAACGGGCGAUGAUUUGUUCUAUGAGUAUGGACAACCUCAGGAAACGGAGGGGAAUACAUAGUGGAUUGUAAUUGUAAAGAUUACGAUAGAAGGCGUGAGCCCUCAUAGAGUAAGAAGCCAGCCCAUCAGCUAGUAAGUAGGGUAAGGGCCUACUUAGGCGUAGACGGGUACGGGGAAUAGGGGUUUGAUUCCGGAGAGGGAGCCUGAGAGACGGCUACCAUGUCCAAGGACGGCAGCAGGCGCGAAAAUUACCGAAGCCCGCAUGGGGCGGUAGUGAUGAGAUGUAUUAGUAAGAUGGAGAUAAAUGUUCCAUGUUGAACUGGAGGGAAAGUCUGGUGCCAGCAGCCGCGGUAAUACCAGCUCCAGGAGUGUCUAUGGUUUUUGCUGCGAUUAAAAGGUCCGUAGUCAGUAUUUACGAUGAGUGUGUAAAAUAUGUGGUCAAUACAUAUGAAUAUUUAUACCGUGAAUUAAAUUGGGAGCGGCCAGAGGGUAAGGAAUCGGGAGACGAGGGGUGAAAUCUGAUGACUCUUCCGGGGCGAUCGGAGGCGAAGGCGUUACCCAGGUGCGAUUCUGACGAUCAAGGACGUAGGCUGGAGGAUCGAACACGAUUAGAUACCGUAGUAGUUCCAGCAGUAAACUAUAUAUAUGCCGAUGCACGUUUAUUUUUUGUGUGUCGGAAGGGAAACUAAAUAGUAUUUCGGGGAGAGUACGCGCGCAAGCGAUAAAUUUAAACGAAAUUGACGGAAGAACACCACAAGGAGUGGAGUGUGCGGCUUAAUUUGACUCAACGCGGGACAGCUUACCAGGGCAGAGGAUUGUACGAGCGAAUACGCGAUAAAUCUGGGAGUGGUGCAUGGCCGUUAUAGAUGGGUGUAGUUAUAUAUUUGUUAAUUUAUGUAAUGUUUUGUGAGACGUACGUUAUAAGCAUAUUAAUAUGUUUAUCAGACAGGUAUUAAAGAUACAGGAAGGAGUACGCAAGAACAGGUCAGUGAUGCCCUCAGAUGUCCUGGGCUGCACGCGCACUACAUUAGCUAAGAUAAUGUUUUUAUAGAGUGAAAUUUAGUUAUGAGGGAUUGGGCGCUGUAAGGCGCGCAUGAACGUGGAAUUGCUAGUAAUCGUGAGUUCAGUAGAGCGCGAUGAAUGUGUCCCUGUUCUUUGUACACACCGCCCGUCGUUAUCGAAGAUGGGGCUGCGUACAAACGAAUUUUGAUGAGUGAGUGCGUGGUUCUAGAUCUGAUACAAGUCGUAACAAGGCAGCUGUAGGAGAACCUGUAGCUG
rnacentral:rRNA from 1 species